UGUAAGCGUAUACCAAAGUUGUUGCAGUUAAAACGCUCGUAGUCGGAAUUUGGCAGUUCCGGAUGUGUGCACGUCGUGUGCGCACUUCGCGGGGAUUGCUUUUGUGGUCUUGCGUAGGAUGAGGCACUUUUAUUAGUGAACGUCCUCACGCAACCACUUUUUACUGUGAGAAAAUCAGAGUGCUCAAAGCUGGCAUUUGCCGUGAAUGUAUUAGCAUGGAAUAAUAGAAUAGGACUUGGUUCUAUUUUGUUGGUUUGUUGGGACUGAGUAAUGAUUAAGAGGGACAGUUGGGGGCAUUUGUAUUUCGGUGCUAGAGGUGAAAUUCUUAGAUUACCGAAAGACAAACUGCUGCGAAAGCGUCUGCCAAGGAUGUUUUCAUUGA
rnacentral:rRNA from 1 species